ACGCAUGCUGGGAAAUGAAGUCUUCUACAAUGCCAGAGGCAUUCUGGGAAAUGGAGUCUUACUUCCUGGUCCCCUAGGUUUGGAGCCCGGAUGGAGGAGAGGCCACGCACCAAGUGUUCCUAGACUCCCUGGAUGCAGCCGGGUCCUUUUCCUUUCCUUUCUUUUCUGGUAUUUUUAGCUUUGAUCCUCCUGGACCUCCUUCCUGUGAUAUAGGAGGCAGCUAUGGAAAGAACCACGGAAGCGUUUCUGAGAACACAGACCGAGGGUGAGAAGAGACCCAAGAAGCCCCUGAGCGCGAACUCCUCAUUUCAGGGAGGACCAAACUGAGGCGGACAGGCUGGUGCUGGUCCUGAAUGAGGGGCCCGAGGAGGGCUGGCUCCGGUGCCGUAUUGAUCCUAAUAGCAGCGCCCCCAGACCGGAAAAGCCCCACUUCCUGUAGUUUAGGAACAAUUUCUAUGUAUUUCUCGGUCAGACCCGGCUCCGAGACGCCCUCUAGUCUGUGGCUUGUUGCACUACCUUCGCCUUAAGCAUCCCAAAGAACUUCUUCCUCUUCCACAGAAUUUGGUGACUCAGUGAAGGGAGUAAAGAGGGUUUUCGGCCCUGAGAGGGAGCUGCUCUUGUGACCUCAUUGUCCAGAGACGGAACAUCAGGGAGAAUGGAGACUGGAAGAAUUCUUCAUGCUUUCAAGUUGAGGCUGGUGAAGAGGGGCAGAAGGAUCUCCUGACUGGACCUGAGACUCUGGUGAGGCUGAUAAAGAAUCUGCUGACUGGACUGACAAGUGAUAUAUUCACCAGACCUUCUCUCUGGGCUGAACAAGGCUCUGUGAUUCCUGUGGGAAAAAAUGUAACUCUCUGGUGUCGGGGCCCUGUUGGGGCAAAGCAGUACUGUGUGAAGAGAUGGGUGACUUUGUGCAGGACCCCAUCCUGGCCUCGUUGGAAUCAGGUAGAGUUCACUGCCUCAUUUGUGACAAGGAAGGAUGCAGGACCCUACUGCUGCCUCUAUGAGAGUCAAUCAAGAUGGUCCCAGUUGAGUCAUCCUCUGGAGCUGGUGGUGUCAGGUGAGAGAGCCAUUGGCUUUGCCCCUCAGCCAGACCUGGGUGCUUUGACCACUGCACCCCAGGCUGGUAUUCAAAUCACAAGGGGUUUUCUCUGAGUUUUCUCCCCUGAGUCCCCAACCCCAUCCCAUCCUACCUGGACCUUCCUCCACCUCUUCACAGAACUAGCCCCACAUCAGAAUUAGGACUGGCAAAUCCAACCUCUUUGACAGAGGGGGGAAAUGAGCUCCCAGCUUCCUGGACAUUUAGGGGAAGGGACUUACCCAAGCUAGGUGGCAGCAAGGUGGCUCAGUGCUAGAUUGCUAGGACUAAAGUUAGGAGAACCUGAAUUCAAAUCUUGCUUCAGACAUUUACUAGCUAUGUGACCCUGAGCAAGUCACAAAACCUCUGUUUUCCUCAAUUUCCUAGACUAUAAAAGGAGCAUAGUAACAGCACCAGGGUUGUUGUGAGGAAUACAUGAGAUGGUUGUUAUAGAAGUAGUUGCUAUAAAAAUGCUUUUUUCCUCCCCAGUUCCCCCAUAUCUAAACUGGUAAUUUGUGAAAGAGCCCAGAUUCCAAAUCAGCUUG
rnacentral:lncRNA from 1 species